rnacentral:rRNA from 1 species
AUUGAACGCUGGCGGCAGGCCUAACACAUGCAAGUCGAACGAGUGGCGGACGGGUGAGUAAUGUCUGGGAAACUGCCUGAUGGAGGGGGAUAACUACUGGAAACGGUAGCUAAUACCGCAUACCAUCGGAUGUGCCCAGAUGGGAUUAGCUGGUUGGUGGGGUAACGGCUCACCAAGGCGACGAUCCCUAGCUGGUAUGAGAGGAUGACCAGCCGCACUGGACCUGUACACCGGUCCAGACUCCUACGGUCGGCAGCAGUGGGGAAUAUUGCACAAUGGGCGCAAGCCUGAUGCAGCCAUGCCGCGUGUAUGAAGAAGGCCUUCGGGUUGUAAAGUACUUUCAGCGGGGAGGCUUUACCCGCAGAAGAAGCACCGGCUAACUCCGUGCCAGCAGCCGCGGUAAUUC